ACUCAAAGGAAUUGACGGGGGCCCGCACAAGCAGCGGAGCGUGCGGUUUAAUUCGUCGCAACGCGAAGAACCUUACCAGGGCUUGACAUGCUGGUGGUACUGAUCCGAAAGGAGAGGGACCCUUCGGGGAGCCAGCACAGGUGCUGCAUGGCUGUUGUCAGCUCGUGCCGUGAGGUGUUGGGUUAAGUCCCGCAACGAGCGCAACCCCUGUUGCCAGUUGUAUUCUCUGGCGAGACUGCCCCGUAAAGCGGGGAGGAAGGCGGGGAUGACUUCAAGUCAGCACGGCCCUUACGUCCUGGGCCACUCGCACGCUACAAUGGUCCGUACAAUAGGUUGCCAAGGAGCGAUCCGGAGCUAAUCCUUAAAGCGGACCUCAGUUCAGAUUGCAGGCUGAAACCCGCCUGCAUGAAGUCGGAGUUGCUAGUAACUGCCGGUCAGCACACGGCGGUGAAUACGUUCCCGGGCCUUGUACACACCGCCCGU
rnacentral:rRNA from 1 species